UACAAAAUACACUAUUUACGUCGGUCAACGCUACUGUUCAUAGCGUUGACCGACGUAAAUAGUACUCAAAUAAUUGGGGCGUCACUUUAAAAAUGACACUAAUAAUAUGUUAUUUGCGUCUUUUAGGUAUAUGACGCUAAAAGCUAAACCGACGGAAAAAGUAGGAAAUUUAAAAAUUUACGUUUCAUUUUGCGUCUGUUAUUAAAACUAGUGUAUUAUAUUAGUGAGCUUUUAAAAACGACGCAAAAUACAAUAGUGAGAGUUAAUAACCGACACAAAAAAAAGUGAAAUCCCUAAAAUUAAAAAAGGCAAAAUCCUCAAGCCCCUUUCUUCAGAUGAUUCUCUUCAGCCGCAUCUCCACUUCAGCCCUCUCCCUAAACGCAAAAUUCUUGCGAUUCUCUUCAGCCGCAUCUCCUCUUCAGACGACGAUGAGAACUCACCCUAACCACCUCCUCUUCAAACGAUUCGACGGUGGUCUGUGGUCUCUCUUCUCCCAUGAUAUUGCUCAAUCCUUCUUAUUCUUCUUUCCCAGUCAUACAAACCCAGCUGCACCUCUGGCUGUUCUCCAGCCCUCUCUCUCUCCAAGCUUCGAUCAGCAGCGUGCCCCUCUCUUCGAGCUUCGAUAGACGACGCUCCUCUCUCUCUCUCUCUCUCUCUCUCUCUCUCUCUCUCUCUCUCUCUCUCUCUCUCUCUCUCUCUCUCUCUCUCUCUCUCUCUCUCUCUCUCUCUCUCUCUCUCUCUCUCUCUCUUUCCGAGCUUCAAUCAGUGGCACCCCUCUUGCCAAAAAUCCCAAAAUCGCCUCUUGUCCCUCAUCCCUCCAACCACCCUUCUCUCUCCCUCUGUUCAUCUUUCUUUCGGACAACCAUCGACGAGCCUAUCUCUCCGAUCUCAAAUUGAGAGAAUUAAAAUAAAGAAAACUGAGUUUGGGUUUGAGGAAGAAGAAGAAGAGUAAGCGGCAGCAGUAGUAGCAGCAACCAUGAAUAUAAUGGAAACAUCAAUAAUACAUCAUGUUCAUGAGCAUUGUGUUAUGCAAUUGAAGAAAAAAGUGAAGUUUUAAGAAAGAAAACAAGUUAACGAAAAAGGCCAUAAGAAAACAAUUUUGAAUUUAUAUUAUUUGAAUCACUUGUUGGACCAAUAGUGAGUGGAAAAGGGGAGACUUUUCUACUAAAUGAAAUGCUAAGCCCUUAAAAAAAUUAUUCAUUUAAUUUAGUGAACUUUAUUUUCAAGGCUAUAUAUGGAGACAUUUCUUACCCUUAAAAAUAUCACCACUUAUCUAUUUUGG